UACGGAGGGUGCAAGCGUUAUCCGGAUUCACUGGGUUUAAAGGGUGCGUAGGUGGGUUGGUAAGUCAGUGGUGAAAUCUCCGGGCUUAACUCGGAAACUGCCGUUGAUACUAUCAAUCUUGAAUCUCGUGGAGGUAAGCGGAAUAUGUCAUGUAGCGGUGAAAUGCUUAGAUAUGACAUAGAACACCGAUAGCGAAGGCAGCUUGCUACACGAGUAUUGACACUGAGGCACGAAAGCGUGGGGGUCAAACAGG
rnacentral:rRNA from 1 species